rnacentral:rRNA from 1 species
UACGGAGGGUGCAAGCGUUAUCCGGAUUCACUGGGUUUAAAGGGAGCGUAGGUGGGUCUGUAAGUCAGUGGUGAAAUCUCCGGGCUUAACCUGGAAACUGCCAUUGAUACUAUAGGUCUUGAAUAUUGUGGAGGUUAGCGGAAUAUGUCAUGUAGCGGUGAAAUGCUUAGAUAUGACAUAGAACACCAAUUGCGAAGGCAGCUGGCUACGCAUAUAUUGACACUGAGGCACGAAAGCGUGGGGAGCAAACAGG